CGUUAGCUUGUGGGGAACUUUUUUGGGAAAAGAAAGACUGAAAACAAAGUUUACCGGCGAAUUUCGCCGCGGAAAAUGACGAGAAUGAAUUACUUUUUUUCUGUUCCUGUGGAAACUUUACCUGCUUACCACUGUGAAACUGGAGGGGUGUAUAUACAUCGUAAUGAGGUAAGACUGGUCUCAUUUGAAAGAGAAGGAUGUCCUGAUGUGUUCUGAUAUAUGAUAGUGGGGUGGAGCUAGGUGACGGCCUCUUAAGCUUCCUCUUUUCUACUGGAGUCGUUCAUGUCCAUAGCGCGUUUAAAACGUGCAUAAAGUGUCUAAAAUCUUUGAAAAAUAUUAAUAUAGGUCAAUGAAACAUUAAAAAACAACAUUUUAGACAUUCUCUAACCCCCCCUGUAGCAAAAUCAGAAAAAAAAAUCUGUUGUUUCAUAUCGUCCUCGUGAAGCUAGAGGCUGGAGAUGAGAGCGAGAGACUCAUGCCACGGUCUUGCCCGCACAUAUGCGUGCACCGGGCUGUUCACGUGGAGGCUUCACCCAGUGAGGCGGCAGACACUGUCCAUUCUAUAUACAGUCUAUGUUAAAGACUAUGAAGGCUCAUUGUUGUAGGUGACAUGACAACUCAUUUAACGAUGGCUCUAAGGUGCUUUGGUGCCUACAAAACUGUGUAAAAAGGAACACCCUCUAUUUGUGACUGACUUUAAAUCAGCAGAGAAGCAGCCAAAACAGAAUAUUCUGGACAGUGGUGGCUGCAAAUCAUGCAAAGCCACCCUCUUAGUGUCUCUGACUGACAGAAUAAGAGAAGUAAACAAGUAUUAUCAGUCUCCUUCAGAAUAUUUUCCUUUUAACAUCUCAGAAAGAUCAUCUUUUAUUUACAUUAUGUAAAUAAAGUAAAGUCUUUUCCACACACCUAUGCCCAAGUAUCUAACUUUGACAGUCAGUUGGGAGAUAUUAAAAAUUUAUGCCAACAGCACAUCUCACUUUCUUGGCUUUGCAAAGCUCUGUGAACACAAGAAAAACCACUGCCAACCUUCAAGUCUUGCUGGAUUUGUGACACUGAGCACAGUAUGCAGAGUAGAAAGCAGGAGCUGGGUAAACAUCGUCAGAUCCCCAGAAAAAAAAACAGGCUGUCAUUCUUUCUGAUACGUUAAAACCGGUAAUGGAUCAGACUGUUUAUUUUUUGUACCCCUGGUUUUCUUCCUCUCUCUCUCUCUGUAUCUGUAUUCCUCUCUGUGUUUCACUCUGUAUCAGGUUUUUUUCAGAGGUUGGUAGGUCAUUGGUUAAGUUGUUGAAUUCCCCCUUCUCUCAGCAAAUGAUUGAGACAUGGAGGAGACACUGAAGUUCACACACAUACAUGGAGGGAGAACUACCAGGCUGUUAGCAAGUGGAUGGGAGUUUGUCCGCCUACACACUCAGAAGACCAAGAGAUGUCUAUGUGUGUCUGGGCCUGGCUGAGAGGCUGCUGGCUUGCUCUACUGUAGCAGGUGGCGAACAUUUUCCAUUUACAAGAAAAAUGCACAAAGUGUAGGCAGCAGAGAGGAGGUGCUGUUAUCUAUUCCUGCAUCGCACGCGGCUGAUCUGAUCCACUCUGUGGCAGCAUGACAGUCACGUUGUAUGGAUGCAGUUAACUCUGGCACAAAGUGUGGACUGAGGUGUAUUUUUAAACAAUAUGAAGUAAUGCAAAGGGAAAAGAGAAAAACUAACAGAACUAACUCAGCCAGAAAUUGGGACCAUUUUAGAAACUCUUUCAAAAUUAAAUCUGUCUGACUAAGAGAAAUUUCAGAGCAUUUUUAAAUGCAAAUAUUUGUUAUGGAGCAAUUAGGGCUGCAAGGAUUAGUCGACGUCGACGAAAAUCGAUAAUGAAAAAAGUUGACAAUUAAUUCCAUUGUUGAAUAUUCACACAUUUUUUUUCCCAGUAGAGUGAGGCAUCUUACUUCUUUACGAUUUCUGCCUAGAGUCAUAUAUGCGCAAUAGCAUCUCAGCCAAGUGGAAGGGUAUUCAAACAUGGCAGCGCCGUCAUCGCAUACAGCGCUUAAAACCUCCAAAGUUUAGGAGCACUUUAAUGUAGAUAAGGCAAAUAUCUGAAAUUUAAGAAAAAAUUCAGAAUUGUCUGAUUGGUCAACUAAUUGUUUCAAUAGUCGGUGACUAGUCAACUAUUAUAAAAGUCGUUAGUUGCAGUCCUAGGAGCAACCCCUCUUUCUCAUGUUGAGUAGUAAUCAAGCUAACAGCUAAUAUGGAAACCUGGUUCUCAUGGGGAUCCAUUUUUCAAAACCUAAAAAUCACUAACAUUUGAGUUCACUGAAACGGCAGUUCAGUCUCAUGGACCCCACAUGAACACAUCAUGUCAAGUGAAGUCACUUUGAAUUUUAGAUUCUGGAGCAUUUACCUUUAAUGACACACUUUUACUGUGCUUUAUUACCACGUGACUGAGAGCUUACCUGUACAGAUAGAGAAGUACCAAAGAGAGAGAGGCAGAGAACAUGAAGGGAUUUCUCUUUAGACUCUGAGCUUUUUAAAGUUAAGAGCUCCUUUUUUGUUUGGGAUUUUGACGCACUUGGCUGAGGAGCUAAUGAGCCCAUUCUUCUGAAUUGUUUUAUGAUGGCUGUAUGAUAUCUUCUAUGGAUAUGGAUUCCAUGUGGGUCCUUACAGAUAAAUACUGUACUUCAAUAUUUUGGGGCUUAUGUAACAUCUUGUCCUUUUACUUUAGAUUUUCUUUUGAACAAGCACAAUCUUCAACCUAUUACGUCUACCUGUGCAUCUCCUUUUUUUUCCAAUAAAUGACAAUCCUUAAGGAAGAGGGUUUCAACUUUAGAUAAGAAGCACAUGCUCGGUAUUGGCUCUUAUCAGCGUGACCCAGAAAAGUCUUGGAAAAUUCACGGGGGCAUUGCCCUGAUUUAGCUUUAUUUCACAUGCAAGACCAGUGAAAAUAUGAAGGGCGAAAAAAAAUAAGAAGGGGGAAAAAUGCAUGGAGAUGGUCCCUGCAUUCAUCCAGGAAUUGCAGUAUUGGAGAUAUUAUGCAAAUUGUGGAGAUUAUUCAGCCAACCCUUGGUUUCCAUAAUUAGGAUUAAGAUGGGACUUUGGAGAAUUCAUGGUCUCUAAGCUCAUCUUUCAUGGGAAUUGAUUGCCUGUACAGUUGACAGAAGUCGUAAAGUAAAAGCCUUGUUGGGUCUUGACUGUGGCACAUAACAGCAUUAUCAACGCAUGGAGUUAUACUGUAAAGGAAACACCAUCUGGGGUUGCAUUGUAAAGUAAAGACAGGGUCUGUGUAAGGAAGGAUUAUGCCUAUUGACCAGAGGCCCCAAAUGUAAGUCCUCUGUCCCUGUGUGCAGCUUUAACACUGCAUUACACCAAAGAUAGGAGAUAGGCUGCAUGCAUUUGGAAUACUGAAACAAAGACUGUAACUCCAACCCAGUGCAAGAUUUAGAUAUUCGGUCUGUCCCAAUAUGUAAGCUAUGAUAUGCAGGUGGUGGGUCAUUAUACCGUGAUUAAAUUCAGAUGGUCCCAAGCACUGUUUGAAGGGGAUCAAUAUUAUUUGUGGACCUCUGCUCAUUUCUGAUAUACCCCCUGAUGUCAGCUAGGGGUGGAAAUCACUAGUGGCUCCACGAUACAAUAAUAUCACGAUACUUGGGCCACGAUUCAAUAUCAUUGCCAUUUUAAACAUUUUGCAAGACAGUAAAGUAGAGACCCUCUUAUAAAAUUAACCCCACACAUUUUGUGAGAUGCUGAUUCAGACUAGGUGAACAGUAUUUGAGAGGACCUCUGGAUGCUCAGUCUGAAGUAUAACAGGUGAUUUUAUCUGAAAUGUUUCUCCCUAAAUUAGACAUGGUAGAUUUGCACACAGAUGAAGUCCUGUGGGUGAUACUAAUCCCACAGGUAUGGGGCUUAAGCAGUGACCUCACCUGCUACCUGUUUAUUAUCUGACUUGUUACUACUCAAGCUGUGACUAAGUAUUUGAUCUCGUCGUGUUAGGCGUACUUUCCCUCUUUCAUGUAAUGUGAGGGUGUUUGCGUCCAUAUCCCAGACUCCAGCCGACUCUAUCAUCACCACAACUGUCACAAUCAUGCUCCAGUGUUAAGAUUGACAAUGAAAGAUGACACGGGCCUUUCUGUGUAGUUGAUAUUUACACUAAACUGAACACUGAUGCUGAGUAAUGUCGAUGAUGGGCCAAGCGCGUCCAAUCCCAAAAUGUGAUACGCUUCAGUGGCUGAGGUCAUUACCCUCGGAUGGAGCACGCUUUUGAAAGCACUUUUAAUGAUAGGGGCUCUGAUAUAAUCCACUACAAAGAAAAGAGACGUUGUUUUACUGUCAGAUAGAGUUGUUACAGCUAGUUGAUUUCUCACUGAAUACCAUUUUGUUGUCAGUGUCAUGUGUAGCUUUGAUUUACAAUAAAGGCAUACUGCUCACACUGUCAUGGAGUUAGAGUAAAUAUAUCUGCAUUUGAAAGUGCGGCCCCCUCUGUGUUGUACCCCGCACUGUGUUUGGGGAUAAGGAAAGCAAUUUGUUUGCUGAAACCCGAGGAGCUUUUAGAUUGUGGUAUUCUUCAUGUUUAACAGUGUGAAGCAGAGAUACGUCUUUGAUCCUGAAAUAAUUUCAUGACAAAAUAUCUUUUGACCCUGAAGCGUGGUUUGAUGGAGAUAUUUGACCCCCCUGCUAUUUCGGGAACAGCUCCUUCCUGUGAAUGCUGAUGUGUUAAGUGACAGCGUGAUUUAACAAAGCAGGCAUCCACAUCACACAUCGCUCAAAAGAACAGAUUUAGUUUUUCAUCUUUUUUUUUUUUUUUACCUCUAACACCCCCGCCCCUUUUUUUCACCCCCUACUCCCACCACCUUCCCUUGGGCACUGAGCGCUGAGAUGGAAGUAAAGAUGGAUGAUGUUGUUUUGAACUGUGACAUGUCUCCAUGCGAGUCAUUUCAUUAUUAUUCAUAAAUAAUUGGCGGGGACGUCUAAGGAGGCUAUUUAAAGAGCUGAUUGCUGUAUUGCCAAUGUGCGCUAACUCUGAAGGUUUUAUUUAUUUUCUUUUUCUAGUAUUUCCCGCUGAGAGCCAAACUUGGGGUCUAUUUUCAUGAAGCUUCUAAUAUAGCACUUGACCUUUUGUUGAGUUUUGUUUGCCCCCUCUCUCUCUCUCGUACACACAGACACACACACACACACACUCUGCUUGUGUGGUCAAUAAAGAUACAUGUGUAAGAUAUUGAUUCCAGCUUUUUGAUCUCACCUCUUCCAGCUGAAGUCUCUCCAACAGUUUCGAGCUGGAGUUUAAUUAUAUCUAAUUCUCUCUCACUGGCAGCCAUAUAUCAACUCCAUCUCUCCACUAAAGGAUCUUUCUCCCACCUAAGUUGAAAAUCAAUAGGGACCAGUGAGGCAGGUCUGUCAUGGUGCAUUGGACAGAGGUACUGUUGAUUUGUUCUUCCUGACUGUAACAUCACAUACUCCAUUAGUUAUAUAUUGGCACAUGUGUGUGUGCGCACCUAGAGAUACCUGUGGUAGUCCAUGGGUGCGACAGAUAUUUGGUACACCUCAGGGUGGCAAAGGUUCAUCAUGAUUUUUGAAAAGACACAUGUCUGUAGAUUAUAUUUUUGUAUGAUAACCUUUCCAGGUGCCCAGCUAAAUAUUGGUUAUCAGCUCAUGAAGUUAACCACCCUGUAAGAUAAAUUCAAUUUUUUACACUGGUGUAUAUCUGGUUUAGGCUCAUGACAGGGACAUUUCUCAAAGGUUUACAAUAGACUGUUUGGUAUCAUUUUAAAGAGGACCCUUGUGGCUUUCAUUUAAGCCUAUAUGUGCUCAUCUUAGACCAACAUGAAAGUCACUAGAGCUCUUUAAAUCACAAAAAAUACAAAUUUUCCUGCAAUAUUUUCCUACACGAUAUACUUUCUUUUGGCCGUAUGUCACCCAGGGACAUCAGGGAUUCAAGAAUUACAAACUGCAAUACUAACCAAUAUUUAGCUGGGCACCUGGAAAGGUUAUCAUACAAAAAUAUAAUCUACAGACAUGUGUCUUUUCAAAAAUCAUGAUAAACCUUUGCCACCCUGAGGUGUACCAAAUAGUGAAAUUCUGGCCCAUAGCCUAAGGUACUCAGCAUGGUCAGUUAAAUCUUGAACAGUGUCCUUGAAGGUUAAAAAAUGUGAAUGGAGAAAAGAAAAUGUAAGAAGUUUAAGCAGGGAGUGGAAAUGAGGAAAUAAUCAGAUUGGAAACAAAAGAGUGGAUUAUUUAGCCCUUGUGGUUCAUCAGGAUAAGCCGGCAGCCUUCUGGUGAAUAUUGCAUGAGAGUGUUAGAUUAAAACAGAUGAAAGCGAAGCAGCAAAGUUGUGCGUGAACAUGAUGUAGGUUUAAUUUCACAUUGUUAGAGGGGUUCAGCUUUUAUUGGAGUAUGCAAUUGGAAUAUGAAAUGCAGUUUUUAUUGUGUUAUUGCGGAGCAGCAGAUAUAAUGCACCUCGCACAUGCAUGUGGGAUUAGGCAGGUGGAGGAGAAGGCAGUAUGUGCCACUGGGCUUUCACAAUCAGCUGCCUCUGUAAGGUCAAGCUUUCUGCUGAUUCAGGAUAUUGGGGCGUGGUAUGAUGAGCUUGCAGGAUAAAAAAAAAAAAAUACAGCAUGACGAGGGGAAGGGCCAAGCCCAUCUGCAUGACAAUACAGAAUUUAAUUUCCUACACGUGCUGCGCCAGGGCAUCACUUUAUAAAGUGCUUCAUUUCCACUGCAGCGUGACAGCAGGGCAACAUGGCUGGAAUGCGGGAUGAUGAAGCUGUGUGGUGGAAACAGUCGGUUGUCAUUAGUAUGCAGCGCUGAGCCGUCUUGUCUAGCUGGACCUCUUGCAGAAAGUCUCUCCCCCUGAACAGCAGAUAAAUUGUCUGUGGUGAAAUGAGCAGAUGAGGCAAAUCUGUGCCCUUUUCUGCACAAGGAAACUUUCUCCCAUGUUGUCGGAUUUGUUCCACACUCAGCAGACACAACAGUCCCCCAAAAAAGAGGAGUUGAAUGAAAAUUAAAAGGGUCAAAGUUGAACUCCCGUGUGAUAAUGCCAUGUGAAAGAAACAGAGAGACGGAUAGGACCUUAUUAAGACCUGUGCUCUUGCGGAUUAGCUUCCAACUCCUCAGUGAGUUUUAUCAGAGAGGAGCCUUCGAGCAUGACCGCAGUAAUGAACCUAUUAGCCAUGAAAUUGACUUUUCUGAUAAAUAAGGAACAGAGGAGUGCAGGGGACCAUUUUUGCAUUUCAAGCCUUUUGUUUGAACUCCAUAAUUACAUUUUAACACUACCACCUUUUUUUUCCAUCUGCAAGUUUUGUUCUUGGCUCCCUCUCAUAAGUACGCUGCAGAAAAAUAAUUGAACAAAUUUUCCAGGUAGAAACAUCACCGGCACACUGUAGCUAGUGUUAAAACAGAGUCCAGACUUGGACAAAUAUGAGAACACUCACAUUCAAGGCUGCGUGUCUGCAAAUGACUCAUAAGCUACAGCAAACUUCUCUGCAUUCUGAAAUAACACUUUAAUCAACUGCUGUGAUGACACUCAAACUUUAAGACCUCAUGGUGCAAAUGUCUGCCUUUAAUCACUGCUUGAGGAUGAAUGUGAUUUUCCAUCCCGCUGAAAAAAAAUGACAAGCAGACAGUCAUUUUGAAAGUUGGACAAGGAGCAGCACUGAGUCUCCUGCUCAAACGACAUGUACGAAGAUUUGUCACGAGGUGGCACAGACGAUUGAUCACUUUCUCAUUUAUCAGAAUCGAUUUUUCUUUUUGUCAUAUUACCAUCAACCAAGGUUGUUCAUCAACUAAGAGGUUCAAUGAUGACUUUCUGCCUCUCAGGGGAACGUCCUCUGCUCCACCCAAAAGUGUAACGACACCAAGUGUACAACUUUUUCACUCUCAUCUUUGUGUCUGUUACACCCCCUUGUCAAUCUCCAAAUUUGCACCUGUUUUUUCACUGAAUAAAUCGAAAGCACAUACGGAAAAGGUGGAGGUCAAGUGUCUGUUGUUGACAUUAAAAGCUGUUUUCAUCUUGUUUUGAAUAAAGCAACAUGAGAGUCAUGCAGUUUAUUGAGGAGUUAGAAAUAUUUCAUUCUUUUAAAAUGUUUACUUGGACCCGAGUUUCUUUCUCCUGCUAGUUUUGCACCACCAUAUUGCAUAUACAUGACUGUUUAAUUGAGAAAUAUCCAAAUCCAAUUGAAGCUGUAGUUUUAUCCUGAUUAAAGCUUGAUCAAAGGAGUCAUUGUUAUCCUGAUUGGGCCAUUUUUCCAACUUCAAUCUUUUAACCCUGUUGUUCUUGUCAGGGUUAUCCUAACAAGGCAGACAUUUGUCUCUGUUUCUAUUUUAUCCAGAUACUUUGUGUGUCACCCUGUCUGCUCAUCUGUGCAUCUGUUCUCAUAUCUUUCCUUGUAUCUCUCCUUCCUUUCUACUAUCUUGGUCCGUCAAGUUGUGGCAGAUGACCUUUCUGCGCGGUUCUACGAAAUGGUUCUGUCUGUCAAAGGAAGUCUUUUUUUGACUUUGUUAUUAGGUACUUUCUAUUAGUGGAUUUAUGUUGUCUUUUUUAUGAUAUUGCAAAGAGUACAUGCUAGAUUAUUUUUUCUGUUGAUUAUCAUGAAAAACUCCUUAUAAGGCACUUUAAGAAGGAAAUUUUGACUUCUUCUAUGGACAAUUUUGACUUCUUCUAUGCAAUUCAACCUCAUUGUCCUACACAACCUGAAACAGGUACAGACCAGGUACAGACCAGAUAAUCACCAAAGAGCUGGAAGUUCGAGAGUGUAAAUUCUCUAUCAGGAUGCUGAUAAUGUCUGCAUGUGGUUUAUUUAUAGUGAAAACACUGAAACUUUAACAUUAGAAAAUUAGUUAAAAGUUUAAGUGAUACAAAGGUAAGAUAGAAGCAAAUGCAGCGAACGUUACCCAGACCAUUUAGUGUUCGCCUUAGGCACAGCUGAUAGAUAAAUGAUUUCAUCAAUAUCAAACGGACAAUUUUUUAUUUGGACAGAAUUUUUAGUUCAACUAACGCACAGGUCUUAUAGUAAGAAAUCACCCUGAAAACAGUAAAAAUUUAACAUGUUAAAUUAAAUAAGACUGAAUAAGGGAUCACAGUGUCUGAGGAUGAGCUCUGUCAAAUUUUGCUGUGUGUGGCUAAUGUUAGCAGAGCUAGCACCACCAUCUUUGUCUAUGUUUACGUCCACAUGCCUGUGCUAGUUAUGCACAGGUCUGAUCAAGUGGUUGUAAGCCAGUUUAAGUGAACACAGUAAGCAUACGCAUUUAUCUCUUUCUGCUAGCUCAAAAGAUUUCUACAUUGCACUGUGCUAUGUGGUGCCAUCAUCUGUUGUUCUUAAAGACCCACUUGAUGAAAAUCAUGUUUUUUCUUGUCUACAUGUUCAUGUGGCAUUUUUCUGAUGCGACAGGGCAUAUCAUGAGAAAACUAAGUGCAAAAUUGCAUUUCUGAGUAUUUCUUGGCAGACUCAAACACUACGUUCAGAUACAGUGGGAUUUCCUGCGUAGCAAAUCCAAGCUCCACCCCAGGAACCCCGCUAUGCAGGCCACACUCAGAAAAACAGAGAAGACAAUUGCGACACGAUUGCAGUGCUUGGAAGAAAGCUAAUUAUAUUAGUUUUCAUCAUGCCCCAAAAGAUAUUUGAGUCUGAAGUUGAAGAGCUCCUGUGUUACCUGCCACUUCUUCUACACCAGCAAUGUUAGGCUGCAAGCUAGCGGGUGUGCAGAGCCGCGCUGUCUCCACCCACGACUCAGAGGCAAAGUGAUGAUAAACUACUGGAGCUCUGCAGAAGAAAAGCCCUUAAAAAUGACACAGGUAAUGUGGUUUUGGCUGAAAACUUGAUAAUCACAACUUAUAGACCACUGAUCACACUUUAAGUAUUAAAAAAAAAACACUAUCGGAGUGGGACUUCAACAUUAUCCCACACUUGGACCACCAAUACAUGUGAGCGUCACAGUUAAAGAAAUGCAUAAGACAGACGUUGAGAACGGCAACAGGAAACUGUAACUGCAAAACAGUUAAGAUACCUCCAAAACUAUAGGCAUAACAGACUCCUUCAGACUGCUUCACAUAGGGACCGUUUUCGACAGAAUCCAUGGCAUUACUAUGGAGAGCAUCAGGUACUCACUGAAACAGGUGGUUUGGAUAUUUCAUUGGCUGUGGAGUAGAAUACCAAUGAACAUCAACUUUAGUGAAAAAAACCUCCAGACAAUCUCAGUGUUUACAAAAUAGCCCAGCACACUCUCCUAUUUGCAUGGAUAUCUUGUGACAUCCAAUCAACAUAUCCCAUUGUGCUGGGUGUCAGACCCCAGUUGAUUGAUUGUAGUUCUGCUUUGCACCCCUCUGCUCAGGGCUCAGCUCUGCAAUGACAGAAAGGACACGCAGAUGAAUAAUGCAUGUCUCUAUCAGCCCAUCUCACAAGCACAAUGCUGAGAGAAAAAGAGAUAGAUAGAUACGGGAUGAGGCAGAUGGACAAGGAAAGUAUGGGAGAUAUUCCAGAGAUGAUAAAAGUUGGGCUCUGAAUGAGACAUUUAACAUAAUGAUGACAAUCUCUCCUAAAGUGUCCAAGAAAUGUGCAAUAAAACCAUAGAAACCAUCGUCUUUCAUUGAGUUAGCUACAGUCCAUCAGUAUGAUAGAAGGGAUUCUUUUUAGAUUCACUGUGAGGUUUUAAAAUUAAAAAAUCCUAACACAGGGUGAAGUGUCUGCACUGAGUAAUCAAAUUAAAGGUCUCCAUUAUUCUCCAAAGGUCUUUUCCUCUUGCUCUCAGAAUCUAUAAAUUGCAGGUCAAAACCUAGACUUGCCAUUUGCACCGAAACGAAAUAACUAUAGACCCUCUACACUAAAGAAUUAAUACCUUGAAAAGAAUUCAACAAUGUUCAUAAAAUAGUGUCAUGGACAGUGCAGGAUAGGGCCUUUUUCAUUAACCUGGCAAAGAGCCAUAAUAGCUAAAGGUCUAAGGCCAACAUAUUGAAUUUGUAUCAGUUGCUCUCUUUUUGGAAGGGACUUCAUUACACUGCAGCUUGUAUAUCUCUGGUAAAGAGUAGGAAAAGUGAAGGAAUAAUGAUUCAAAAGGGCGACCUAUUGUGUGAUCCAUCUUGUGUGAAGGGUCUUCAUAAUUACGACUGAUUAAGAUGCAUGACUGGAAAUAUCAAUAAAAUCAAAGCCAGACUUCACCAAUGAACGGCUGAUGAACAAUUUUGUAAAUUCAGCGAAUGCUUAAAAUAACUAAUCACACUUAUUCUUUGAACAAAUCGAAGUCUCCAUUGUGUUUUUCCUGAAGCGUUUUUGCCUUUUCUCUGAGAGAGUUCAGUAAGACUUGGAUACUGCAUAGGGUUUAUUUUUACAACAAAAUCUAACCAGGAGAGCGGACGCCUAUUAUGCACAGAGAAUGAAUCUCAGAAUCACAGCUGAAACAGACUGACCACAAUGUAAAAGUCCCAGACAAUAAUUACUCUUUUACCAGCUAUUGUAGGCCAGUUGCAGGGAAAGAUUUGAAUAUGACCCAGUUUGAGGAGAUUACUUGCGUUCUUCUGACGUCACUGUCUACAACGCUAGAGGCCUGACAGCUUCAGCAUGAAGGGAAAGACAUCUGUGAAGAUUUCAGGAGCCCACUGCAGAAUGCAGAGUUUUGGGAACAUGUCCAAUUGAAGGCUCUCUCAACCUAAACAGCACAUCAAAAUUAAAGUUCAUGAUAUCACUGGACUGUCAAUGUGCUUUUGAAAUCUUGGACAGUUUAGCUGAUUGUCAUAUCUGAUUUCUCUGUAGUUUUGUACCUCUAGUUUUAUGUUGUACCCACUUGACCUUUUGUUUUUUUCUCUUUUAACUCACUGUUUGAAUUUGUAUUCUCACAAAAGCCCCACCACUGACAUGCAGCAAAUAGGCAUUGGCUGCUGUGUCCAGUUAGUCUAUUUAUUCUGCACAUGUCCACAAUAAAUCAUUAAUGAAUAAAUGAUGCAUUAUUGGAUGUCAUUAUUAAUUAAUACUCACCUGUGUAUUUAAUUAUGAUAACAAAAUUAUCUCUGUGUACAUAAGUUUAUUGACCCUUUUUUAAUUAUUACUGUGGCCAGUAUCUGAGGCUAUAACUGGCUUGCUUAGACAAGCCACAUGGGUUGUUGUUGUUGCUGUGAUUUAUUGCCCAGGGAUAGACUCAGCCUGAAAUUCUCCAAGGAAAGGAAGUCCUCCUCUCUGCAGCAACGUAAGGAAGUGGGUUUUGUGGACUUUGUUUCAGGACUGGGCUUUUAUUCCAGUGAUACAGUUGUUGUAAAAAUAGGUUGAUCAAGAUGAUAGUUAAAAAAAAAAAAAGAGUCAUUGAGGCAGAUUUGAAAAAAGCGUUCCACCCCCCGCACACAAACCUCUCCCCUCUGUACUCAACGAUAACGAUUUUUGGCGUCCUUUUCCAUCAUAGCUCCUGUAGCUAAGCUUCUACACCACUUUUAGCCGUUCAGAGCUCCAAGGAGGGCCGGGAGAGUGGGAGGGGACAAGUCAGAACUACAGGAGAGGGGUGUGUCGAAUACAGCAAGGUGAUUGGAUGGAGAGUCAGAGCAGGAGAUUGACCAAUAGGAGCUGUCCAGGACGGAUGGCUCCCAUUGGUCAAUGUUUUUGCAGCCCUGCAUCUGAUAGGGUGAAUAGAUUUUUUCCAUUCUUUUUUCUCUUUACUUUAUGGAGAUCACACUAUAGGACCAUGAUCGCCAUAUAAACGAGGUUUAUAAUAAUUACCAACCUCUCCGAUCGUCCACCAUGCCUUUAAUUCAUCCCACGGUGGUGAAAUUUGCACUGUUAAUAGCAGCAAAGGAUCAGCAUAUCAAACAUAGAAGAAUAAGUGUGCAUGAUGAGCCUCAUAAUCAGCCUCAAUAAUUGCAAUGAUGACUUAUUUGGCAGCCCCACUUUGGGGAGUGACUGUGCAAAUAUGUGACUUUGUGGCUUUUGAGGGAGCUAAAAAAUGAGGUCAUAGAGACCAAAAGAUGAGGUGCACUAAUCAGCCCGACAGAAGCUGCUGUUGUCUAACAUCCCAGAGCCUUUAAGCACAAGCUAUUGCUAAUGCAGUCAGAGAAAAAAAAAAUCUGUAUUUGCUGCAUUUGUCUUGAUUCUGUCGUUCUGAUUGCCCGUUUGUUGUGGGAUAUAUUACAAUGAUAAAUCAGCUGGUUUUUAAAGUUAACUUGUGCUCACUGCCCUCAUUGAAGUAACCAUAUUUACCUUGAUUGAAGUCUGUUUCCCUGAAAAGACACAGCUCACGUCGGCUCAGUAUUGGUAGUCUGAAGAGUGAAAUUUAAGACAUCUCCCUGUCCUUGUAAAGUGUGCUGCUGGUUGAUGAAUUUCACGGUGUGUUCUUGUCCUUGUACAUUGAAUCCCAUCAUUUCUAUAUUCCCUUGAGGCAGCAAUUAGCCCUCAGUCUGUCAGCAGCUAAUGGCUUUCUAAUUGAGUCUCCACAGGUAGUGUACCUGUUUGUGGAGGUUAAAUUGGAACAAAAUUGGCAGGACACAGCACUCCAACAUAUUGUAGUGACUUCUUUUAUUUCACACCCAAGAGAGAGCAGAGGGGCUGAGGAUCUUACUUGACACGUGUCACCCUUGGUCUGGUUUUCUCCCUCAUGCUUCACAUUUAGUGUUUCAGGCUGUUCCGCUCUGACCCUUUUCUGAGCCAGACUGGCUGCAAAGAACAUGAAAGGUAAUCUCCACUAAAAACACACCAUAUCUAGAAGCAUGUGAGCACAUGUGUUGCAUGUGCACAUGCACCUUUUAAUACCAGUGAAAGGUUUGUGAAGUGCAAAUAAAUCAUGUGUCAUGGUUACUCACACCAGACUUUUGUUCUGGUUAGCAAACUCAAAUAGAAACAAAAGGAUUAAAUUAAAUUAUCAAUUUGGUUUUCUGCAUGAAUUUUAUUUGCACAGCGGCUAACAUCGCUGCACCAGAGCUUUCUUUGCAGUUUUUACCAAACAUGUCCAUCUUGAACUUUUCCUCGAAGCGUCUCAUUACUCCUUACAACACAUUUCUCUGCACUCUGCUUUUUCAGAGCCUCUUACCACCCCCAAUCUUCUUUCCAAUAUCCCACUCUGAAGUCCAUUUUCCACUUUCCAUUAUCAUUCCCUCACAGGGCCCUCUUUUUACAGCACACUCGUCAUCUCCAUCUAUUUGUGGCUUUUUAAAAGCCUCUCUCUUUUCUGACCAGACUGAAGGACACCAGCAACAUCACCAAUAUCAACUGAAGAUUUUCACAUUGAUCCUUUUAUUUUUGCUGUUGAAUCAUUCGGCCAUCAUAUCUCAUUUCACCCAUCUUCUUGUCUCUUUAGUCAAAUCAGCAGCUCUGUAUUGAUCAGUUUGAAGUGAAUCAGUACCCAAACAUGGACUCUCACUCUCAGUCUGGUAAACCAAGAAAGGAUUAUUGAUCCAGCUGCUCAUCUGGCAGCUAACUGUUUUCAUGUUGUAUGUGUCGCUUGUUGUUUACUUGUACAAGGUGUUGUGCUACAUUGUUCUUUGUGUUUUAAUUUUACAAAAAUAUAAAUGACUAAACAUUAGGGAUGCACGAUAUUUAUCGGACCGAUAAAAUAUCGGCCGAUUUGGGGGGAAAUUACGUCAUUUUUUAUCGGUCCGAUAGGUGCAUUUUUCCGAUAGAAAGAUCCGAUAUAUUAAUGAAAUUACGAGUAACGUUUGCAGGCGGAGUAGCCGCCCGUCCGAGACGCGCUGGUUACGUCAUCUAUCGUGCCUUACUCGCAGGUCCCAAGCCUGACCCUGUCACUACCUGACAGAUAAUAAAAUGUCUUCACCAGCAUGGUCGUUUCUCUCAGUGGCAGAAGAUGACAACAGCAUUGCUAUAUGCAAAACCUGUUCAGCGAGGAUUCCGAGAGGAGGAAAGAAGACGUCAAGUUUUAACACAACGAAUCUGAUAGCUCAUCUGAAAAGUCGCCAUCGCGGUGAAGCGGUAGUAAAAGAAUAUGAGACAGCCGCCGAAGCUGCUAGCGGUACUAAAGCUAAGACAACAACACGACGGAGGAUCGAUGUCCCCAUUCAGCAGGCGUUUAAGAACUGCAAAAGCUUCUCAAGAGACAGCGAAAAGGCUAAAGCCAUUAACGACAAAGUGAUGGAGUUCAUAGCGGUCGACGACCAGCCUUUUUCCGUCGUUGAGAACCCGGGUUUUCGUAAGUUCAUAGCACACUUGGAGCCACGUUACACUCUCCCAAGCCGCCGCUUCUUCUCGGAUGUGUCUCUUCCUGCACUCUAUGAUAUUGUCGCCACAUACAUUCACAACCUGAUCGACAAGAACGGACUACACGUGAGUUUUACCACAGCCAUAUGGACGUCAGAUGUUAGUCCGGUCAGCAUGCUAAGCCUAACGGCUCAUAAUGGCUCCUUUUACAGUUUACAGUUCUGUUUAACAGUUCAGGGGAUCAAAUGAAGUUCUGCUUUUUGCUCUGUUAUUGUUAUUUAUAGCAAAUGACCAUAUUUGAAGAGCCAAAAACUUUUCUUUGUUGUUCUAGAUGGGCCAGAGCAACAAAAAUAUCAGUUUUCAAUCGCUGCAUCCUGCACAAACUGCAGAUUAUAUGAAGAUUAUAAUAAAUGUAAAAAUAUGAAUUUAUCGGUUAUCGGUAUCGGUAUCGGCCAUGAGAAGAAGAAAAUUAUCGGUUAUCGGUAUCGGUUGAAAUUUUUCAUAUCGUGCAUCACUACUAGACAUUCAUACUUGUGUCGUCUGCUAUAAAACAUUAUGAAAGAAGUGUACUGGCCAAAAAACUGCAGUUAUGCUCCAGAUCUUUUCAUUUGAUUUCAUAAAAGGACAAAAUAAUAGAGGCCUAAAAACUGGAUUGAUAGAGGUCUCUCUCUCUUUCCACAUAUCCGUCUAUUUUGACCCAUUCAGUCGCAAAUGCCAGUUCACCAGUGAGUCUGCUUUUCUGCCUCCGUCUAUUAAAAAGGUUUUUUUUCCUUAACACUCUUACCAGCUGUUGAGUCGUUGUGAAUAACACAACAAAGUACUGUCUAGACGUGCUCUUUUUUAAGGGGACUUAGUUGUGGCCUGACACUAUAUAAGCAAAAGUGAAGCUUUUACUUUCAAUUGGUGAAAGUUCGUGUGAUCUGCUUAUCACACUCUUGUACGCAAACUUACACAGUUUAGGUUGAGUCGGUGCUAAAAAUGAAAAGCUGCACCUUAGAUUUUCAGUCAUUAUAGGCUGGGUUUCAACCUAGCAGAGGUCAUCUAAGUGCAGUAAUUAGCACCUCUUUUAACAUAUUUUGUUUAAUAUAAACAUGCAAGUAUGAGCAAAAUGCUUGCACAAUGUUUCAUUCAUCCAUCGGUCUAUCAAGCAUUUUCUUCCAAUUAUACGGAUCGUGGUCCUGGUUGCAGCAGCCUCUACAAGUCAGCCUAGACAUCCUUGCCCGCAGCCACAUGUCCUGGCUCCUCCUGGGGGAUUCCGAGGGGUUUCCAGGCCAGAAAGGACAAGUUAACCCGUCCAGCAAGCUCUAAGUCUAAAUGGGGUCUCCUCCCAGUUGGAUGUACCCAGGGAACCUCUAUGGAGGAGUCCAGCAGGCAUAAUCAGUUGCCCAAACCACCUCAAUUGGCUCCAAAGGACCUAACAGCUUGACUCUGUGCCCCUUUCAGUUGUAUGAGUUCCUGAUCCCAUCAUGAAAGCUGAGCCUAGCCACUGUUCUGUGAUGUCAUUCUCUUGGCCGCUGCAAAGCUCACAGCCACAGGUGAAGGUUAAAAUGUAGAUCGCCUGGUAAAUCAAAAGGCCCAGCUCCCUCCUUUAUGCAGCUAUCCAGUAUAUCAGCUGCAUUGCUGCUGUUGUAGCACCAACCCCUCUGUCAAUCUCACAAUAUAUUUCACUCUCCCUAGCAAAAAAAGACUUUGAGAUAGUUGAACUUCUUCACUGGGGGGAAAAUACUCACUCCACACCCAGAGAAGUAAUUCACUGUUUUCUGAGGAGGACUACUCGAGAGACCCUCUGAAGAAUUGCCACCUCGACAUGGUGAAGGGGUUUCAAGUCCCUGAGAACCUGUUUGCUGUGCUUUUGUUGGCACUAGCACCUGGUAGGUUCUCCCAAGACAAAUUGGUCCCAGGAGAGGUUCUUUUAAGUCCCUCAUGAGUCACCUUCCCUGGAGAAAUGACUCUGGAGUUUCCACCGUGAUCUAGCAGGGAGAGAGCCGGGACAGCAAGUGUCCUUUGACCAGGCUUUCCCCGAUGCGGCCCUGUCAGGCUCAGCCCUGAGGGACAGUCAGUGUUUUCACACAUGCACUAAGUUUGAAUUAACAGGUGAGCUGCAUGUGUGAACAUGCAGCAUUUCUCACUUUGACUUUUCCAGGAGUAUUUCCCACCAGGGCAUAAUUUCAAGGUAAGAUCAGGGUGAGCUCAUGUGAGAGCUCACCUGGAAAUCUCCGGGAAAAUUGUCUCCCGGCUCAGUGAGCUCAGUGAGCCAGCAGGCAGAGGUGAUGACAUUUAUGUCAUGCGGUCGGUGUUCUGUCUAUUUUUGCUGCUUUGUUGAAAAAUCCCACUUUUGCACAGAUCAGUAGCAGAGGUCACCAGUUUAUGCAAUGUAUUAAUGCUUUCAGGUCACAAACAUCCAGGUGUACUGUGAGAAUAAGGCAAGCAUGUUUGUAGAACCCAAAUAUGAAAGUUUAAUGUAAGGUUUCUAGUGAAGUCUAUCUCAAUACACCGCUACACCAUCACAUCAUUUUAUAGCACUCCUCCACUCUCUCCAGAGUAUGUUUGGUUCUCUAUUACAAAUUCAGUGGAUGGCAAGCACCCAGGAUUCUAGUUUUAAGCAGGAAAAAAAAGUAUUCACUGCGUUUACAUGCACAGUUUAACUAAGGACUAAGCUCAUAAUAUUUUCGCCUUGUACGUGUAUACAUGCAGCUAAGAAAUUAUUGACAUGAAUUAUUGACUUGAUCGUGUCCUCCUCCCUAAAACUAGGGGGCGAUAUGGCUCCCUUCAGCGACCUUGUUUCCGGUUGACCCCAUACAACUGUCAACAACAACAGCAGGUCCAUGCCAGACAUCAGAAGUGUCUACAACUGCUGCUGGGAAUUUUCGGGCAAGAAGUUGGAGCAUCGUACAGCAGUGUUUUUGUCGUACAUGAUGUACGCGCUACUUCUUCCUCUCCCUCCCCUGGUUGGGAUACGGAGAGUGCUGCGAGAUCAUACACCCCAAUAAAAAGUUUGACAUUUGAUGGACUUUAGAGGUGUGUCCUCACUGAAUCAUCCUAAUAGGCUGAGGACAUCCCUAAUAAUUUAUAGAGCAUGUGACUCAUCACAUUUCUACCCACAGCCUAUUAUUAGAAUUAUUCUGUACACGUUUCCAGGAAUCAGAAAAAGGCUUAUUCAUUUCUUUUUUUGGCCACAGUGUUGUACACGCUGUCCCCAUGUUGACAUUUUAUGUCCGGGUUAACGCAGCUAAUUGCCUACUCUCUUGUCUGGCACAGGGCUAUUUGUCUCCUUCUGUAACAUCUAUUAAUUAUGAAUAAAAUGAGAUCUCGUAGUGUCACUGCUCAUAUUUCACCUCCUACUCACACCAUUCUGUCCGCCGGGCUGCUGCCUCCUUUUUAUUACAUCGUGUGAAACUCUUAUGCAGACCCUGCUUCCCUCUCUGAAGAAAACGGUUUGAAACAGAACAUUUUUCUACACAGGUCUUUGGCCAUUAUGCACCGCUGAUAAUUCUGUGUUUCUUGAAGUGUGUUUUUUAUUUUUUUAAUGGAAUUCACACAUACAACCUCCUGCUUCUGUAUCUCUUUCCCACUCAUUUUGCUCUGAGCGGUGGAGCAGAAAAUAAGAGUGCACUGUAUUGUACCACGAGAGUGUGUGUGUGUGUGUGCGCGCGUGUGUGUACGGGGGUGUAUGUACUUGUACGUGCUCAGAGUAGGUGUUGUUUCAGAGAUAUGUGCGAUUAUGUGCAUGUGAAUUAGGCAGCGCUUUCAGCUGUCUUUUAGGGACAUCUAAUUCAUUUAUUACCAGUGAUUAGAAAAUCUUCUUCUUCAGGGGGUCAAACAUUUAUAUCUCCCUGCCUGUGCUUUACAGGUCACUGAAAUUAUGUUGGGCUAUGAUGGAAGGGAGGGCGACUGCACAUGUGGCUGUUUGUGUGUUUCAGAGUUAAUGUAAAGAGGUGCCUGAGUGUGUUUGGAGGGAGGGAGGUGAGAGAGAAGGAGGAGGACUGUGAAUCUAUGAUUAAUGCAGCAUUGCCCUUGUAUCUUUCAGAGAGGAGAGAGGACGGAGGUGAGGCUAAAAGCAUUAGCAUUCUGCUUGCGUUCCUGCAGGAGUCUGCUUUGCCCCUGUACAGAUGCUCCGCUGCCUUUCAGAUUACCGAACAGACCCUUCAUAGACACUGGAGUCUGGAUGCACACCAAACACCUGUUUUGAGAUCCACUCCAUAGUUGUCAAUCUACUUUAAUUUGUUGAUACAGUUUCAUGGUGUAAGCUGUGUUGUCUUCAGACAGCUCUCAUUCCGAUACUGUCACACACACACAACAUGAGCUGCUCUCAUUUUUCAUCCUGAAUGUAGCAGCUCUGUUUUAAUGGGCCGGGGAAGUAAAACAGUUCUUCCUUCCACUCGAAAGGUUGCACAAGGACCUGAUUUUGAGCCGACUUCAAACUCAUCACAUAUUUAAAUUCUUAACACCAAGCUGCGCUGCCAAAAGCAUUUUGGGUGUUAUUUGAAGCUGUGACAGAAGGCACUGUAGGGUAACUGGUAUGCAGAGACGGAGCUCAAGUAGACAGAAGAGUUGCUGCUUGGCCUGACGGUGCAACUUUUGACAUUUCUAGUUCUGUGCUGGGUUAUAAUUCAGAAAAUGAGCACAGCUACCCUAAAAACAAACUCUGUCACAAACUUUAUUUCUGUACAAAAGAAGUACCAACUAGAUUUGUGCACACUGCAGACAAAGGCGUCCCAAUUUAGUUUGUUUUGCCCUCAAAAGUGACACAGAUUUUGUUGUGAGCAGCAUCCUGGAAGCAGCAUUUUAGUACAAAUAGUGAUAGAUUUUUAUUUUACACACAGAGAAAUCCUUUCUUGAUUUAGUGACCUGACCUUGAACACACCAUUAAUCUCUUUCUUUGGUUGCUUUGAUUCUGAUGAUUUUGACACAGAUCCAAACAAUGAAUUUUUAUCUUCAACAAACAAGACUUACAAGGUUGGGUGAUUACUGUGGCUGCUUUGUGAAGUGAAGGGUGACCCUCUUGCAGCAGCAGCAGCCAAAGACAGCAGAGCGUGCCACAGAUUUGUUGAUCUACAAUGAUGGUGUUCUUCUUUGGGCGGCAGGAGCUUAGGAGGUGGAGCGGUCAUCCAAGAACUGGAAGGUUGGUGGUUCGAUUUCACCCUCUCUCUAGUGUUGAGUCCUUGGACUAGACACUGUUGUAUGAUUGUGAGUGAUGUUUGGUGGCGGUCAGAGAAGCCAUUGACAACAAUUGGCAACAACGUUUCUGUCAGUCUGCCGCAGAGCAGCAGUGACUACGAAGGUAGUUUACCACCACCAGGGUGUGACUGUGUGAGUGAAUGAACGAAUGAUGUAGCUAAUGUAACGCAUUUUGGGGGGCGCUGAUAAAGUGCUGAAUAAAAUCUGAUGCAUUAUUUAUUUAUUUAUUUUUAAUGCUGCAGAAGUUUUAUUCCCCUCUUGAAAGAAAUUAUUUUAGGACAUUAGUCACAUUCUCCAUCUUCCUCAAGUCUUGCUUUGGUAAAUACAGCCUAGACUUCCUGGAAACUGUUGCAAUAAGCAACUUAUCACCAAAAUUCUUCUUUUCAAUAAAGUUUCAAUUAAAAACUGUAAUAAUCAACCGUUGUAUGUUUGUGCACCAGCGAUUUGAUUUAACUCUGGAUAUAAAGUUCAUUGUAGGACCUGUGAGACUAAAUAGCAGAUAAACUCAAACUUUUUGGGGUGUUAAAAGGGAAGAACAGCAUUUUUAACACAACUGCAUUUUGAUCUCCAUAUAUAAUCAUGAAAACAACUUAAGUACCCAAAUGAACAAUUAACAUUUUUCCAGAGCGCGCAAUCAAGGGUGUUUUUGUGUUUAUGACCACUGUAGAUUAAAGACUUUUACAUCAAGUUUCAUCAGAAAAUUUCAAAUGCUUGUUAUCCUGGUAAAUCGGUAUGAUUGUACCAAAAAGUGUUGGAGUACUUGAACUCGUAUAACAGGUGCUGGUCAGAGGAAAAUUCUCAAAUUGGGAAAAUCUGAGUUGGUUGCUGCUAAGCAUUAAUUUUUAUAAUCUGUUAUUAGAGAACCAAGCUAGAUGAGACAGAAACCUGAUACAGUCAUUGCUCCAAAAAAAGCUCUUAGCAUUUAAUAGAAAUGAAAAAACAACAACAACAAUGUGUCUCUAUAAAUUAUGCUGGAGGAUUAUAAAUACACUAAAACAAAGUUAUUUGAGUUAUUUUAAAGAGUUUGAGUUAUAUCCUGACAGAGUUGUAGAUCUAAGCAUAAGAACGGGAUUCAUGUUGUAUGUUAUAGCGUCUUUUAAUUGCUCUGUGUUGUCUCCCAGACUGUGAGUUUCUCCCGGUAGCAACAUUUGUGUCAAAAGAAGUGAUUGUUUGUCAUGCCAGUGGUGUUGUAGCUGUUUAAGCAUGUCUUUUUGAUCCAUAGAGCCCCAGUGGUCCAGCAGCCCUCGUAACAAUCGAUUCCUGCAUUUGUGUUCCUGUGCUUGUUGUUGUCCUCCUCUUCCUCCUCCACUGGGCAGAGGAAAUGUUUGCACACACAGCUUGUUUGGGUAGUUAUUUCUGCUCUGCCUCAGGUCACAUAUUGAACUGAACCUGCAGUAAUAAGUUUUUCUACUGUGUCUCAGACAGGAGCUGCUGAUUGUCUCUGGCUUUUUUCUUUUUUAUGCCAUGGGGGUGUUUUUUUUUUUACUUAAUAACAGCCAUUAUUUACAAAUGAAAGUCGGUCAGCGUCAUAAGCCUGUGUUGGACUUGAUAUCCUUUUAUAUUGUGUUUUACUGUGCGGUUUUGUAAAGUAUCAUAUAGUAUUUUGUUGCAGUUUAUGGUAUAGUAUCUUGACAUAUUGUAAGUUACCCUGUAAUUAUCACCCUCAUUCUGUAAUCACUCAUUUAAAGGGGUCAUAGCAAUGAAACCACUACUUAAAACAAUACCAGGUACUGGUCCGGUUUCAAAAAAAUACAAUGGUGGACAGUUUGAUUGCUUCAACUGGCUUUACGCUCCUCUAACACUUUAUCAUCCUGACCUGGUGUUGGCAACAGUAUUAUCUUUUUGACAGCUAUAUAUUAUAUAUAUUUAAAUGUAAGAAUAAUAUGCAGGUUACACAAAUUUCACUCCCAGUUUGACUCACUGUAUCACUGCUUUUUGACUCCUCCUUAUAAUAACAGUAAUCCUGCACUUUGCUUCUGAAAGGCGUUUUGAUUCUUCAGCUGAUCAGAUAUUGUUACAUAUUUCUAAAUGAUUGUCUCGCAGUUUGUCAGUCAAAACAAAAUCUUUAUACUGGGCUGUUUGAAGUGUAAUGAGCAGUGGUUCAGGUAUCGUAUUGAAUCCUCUAGUUUCAUAUUGUAUUGUAUAACUUCAUAUCCUGUCAUAUCAUAUAAUACAUAUUGUAUUAAUUGUAUUGUAUAGUAUCUUAUGGUAUUGUUUUAUAUGAUAUCAUAUUGUGUUGUAUUAUAUCACAUUGUUUCAUGCUGUAUCGUAUUGUAACGCAUGGCACCAUAUCCUUACUUAUUGUAUCAUAUAUCUUAUCAUUGUAUCAUAAUAUAUCCUACUAUAUUAUAUACUAUUCUACUGUAUAGAAUUGUGUUGUAUUGCACCUUAUAUUAUAACAUAGCCUAAUGUGUUGCAGUGAACUAUAUCUUAUCAUAUCAUGUCACAUUGAGAUAUUAUGUAAGGUCUUGUAAUACAUCCUUUAUAAUCAGAAACCUUGUGCACAUUUAUUAGGGGUCCCCAUUACAGAGUUUUUUGGCUGUAUGAAAUGGUUGAGAUCCUUGAGGAAGUAAUCAGAGCUUAAAUAGGACGAAUGUAAAAUGAAAUAAACCAGUUAACCCGUGUGCAGCUGAUCUUUAAUAAACUGGUGUACCUCAUACAGGGAUUUAGUGUAGUUAUAAUACAGGAAUCUCAUGUACAGCCACAUGUAAAUUAGCAUGCACGCACACUUAUCAACCCACAUUCAUCUGUUUACAUCUUCUACCUCUGACACCAUCAUCCAUAUUUAUCAUGCAUGUUUUAUAUCUGCAUAAUCCUGUGGAUCCCGUGUGGUUCUAUUGUGGGAAUUCAUAAACACUGUUAGUCAAAACAAUGCAACAUCUCGUUUAAGAUGUGACCAUAUGUUAAGCUAGAUAUUUUUCCUGUUACCCUACAUUACCAUAUUUCAAUCUGUAGUCUGGUAGCAGCGGUAAAGUGGCUUAAUUUUUCAUCUGUUUGAAGUUUAAGGAGAAAGAUAUAACAGGUAAUAAAUAUUCCAGAUAUGCACAACUUUUGAAUAACCAAAUCUAAAGUUAACGAGUAUUAAUUAAAGGUGACGAAUAAGGCCACCAAUUCUGCAGUAAGGUAGUACAAGGUGUAAGAUUCUAGUUAAUCGUGCAUUCACUGAUAAUGUUUCCAUAAAAAUGUGAGCUUUCUCCUCCUUCCGCCUUGCGUGACUCUUGUUUGUGACUGACUGUCUGAGCAUAAUUUGUGUUGGGCUCUUUUGCACACAGACCAAGUGUUUCUGUUUCCCUCUGCUUCAGCGCUCGGUAGGAAUGGAUGACAGUGUCUAUAUAAACAACACAGUGGAGUUAUGCACCACAGACUCUUGUCAAGACGCCUUCUUUCCUUUUUUCCACCGCUUUGACUUGUGCUUAAAAUAACUUCUUUUUUUUAAGGCUUCUUCUUUGAUGGAAUAUCUAUUGGCCGUGCUUCACUUAUUGCACUAAUAAGAAAACAGAAAUGAAAAAAAAUCUCUUUAUUAACAUGUGUUGAUAGAUUUUACUCUUAAUGGAAGUGAAUAUCUCUCUAGAAAGAAGCUGUUAAGUGUGUUUUUUAUCAUUGUGCGGGAAAGUUGGCCUCUGGGCAUGAUCUGUCAAAUAAAAUAAGCAGGGGAGCGCAUGGUAGUAAAUGCACAGCUGUGAAGUGACAGUGGAGUUAAAAAUACAAGCAGACACACAGGUCAGCCAUUAGUGAAUGAGAUUCUCAGGAAGUGGGACCUGUUAUUGGUCCUCGCCAUGACUCUCAUGACUCUCAGCAUUUCCAGGCACCUGCACACGAAGGCAGGGUUGUUUUGAUGCAGGAAUGUGGUGCUUUUGUGUUUGAUGCAGCUUUAAUUGUGUUAUCUGUGAUGUAGAAGUCAGGUCCUCCAUCUGUCUUUGAUGCAUGACAUGUUGCUCUUGGGAUAAAGUGUCCUUGUGAUUUCCCUCCCAUUGGACUGAAGUUUGUUUGUGUCCCUGUCACCUUCACAGACAGGACUGCCUUUGCUAUACACACACACACACUUUCCCCUUUAUUGAUCUAGUUAUAUUUACCAGCACCAAGAAGGUGCGAUUUGUUGCAAUUAAGCCUGUGCAAAACCUGUAGCAGUGACUCCUCCUUGAAGGUAUACUUUAUCAUCAAAAAAGCAAUGAUCUCAAUCCUAUCAGACACUCCAAACUGACUGAUUUUUAUCUCCUCUGUCUCAGGGAGAGAUGGAGCGCUACAAACAUUUUCAGGUUAAUACUGAUAACGUUGUUUGGGAUUAUAAAUCAUAAGAGAGGAAAUGUUCCCACUGGUUAAUAGACUUGUAAUGACACUGGAGUUACCUAAUACCCCUGGUAUUCUGCAAGACAACACAUUCAUUAACAAAACUCAUUAUCAGAGGAGAGCUUCCUUUGAGCUUCGAACUUAAGUCCUGGACUAUCAUCAUGUCAGUCAUCUCUUUUUCCUCCAGACAGGUGAAGUCUGUUGCUGAACAGAACUGUCAAAUUCUACGUGUAACAUCUGUCAUCUGACAAAGAACUGUAAAAAACUUAUGAGAAAUUAGAGAAAGUAGAGCUUUUUUCUUUGACAGGCUUAGCCGCUUUGCAAAUAGAUAACUAAUGGGUUUUUCUUCCACUAAAAAUCAACUUUUGUGAAUGUGAUGGACAAGUGUUUACUCUCGGUGGAUUCAUGUGGAGUCUUUCUCAAACAUUGAGACACCUGCAACAGUCUUCACAUGCUCCUUUUGUAUGUUGUACCAAGAUAGGUUAUCAAAAGUUGUUGGUAUUAAGUGUAGCAGCGCCAACAUCAGCACAGGGGGCGUGGUGCGUAACGUGCCAGCGCAGCCAUUUUGCAGACAUAACAACACUAAGCGCAUUGAAAUGAAUGAAAUUAGGAUGAAGGUAGGUUUUUAAAAAAAAUAUUUAUUAGCUGACUACACAGUAAUGGAGAACGGAAUGGAGAGAACAAAACUCAGACUCAACAUACCGUACAGGGACAAGCUGAACAAUGAAGAAAUACAGCGUUACCUUCGCAAAAUUGCAAACAUUGCUGGACUCGACCCAUAUGAGCACACUGUAUGGUCAGAAGUUGAUUUCGACCUCACUACAUGAUAAUUUGUUCAGGGGUGUGUGUGUGUGUGAGAGAGAGAGAGAGAGAAAGGCAGACAUGUUUGCGUGUGAUCACCUGCCAUUGUGCGAACGACGGUUUUGUUGUUGUUGACACUGUGCAUCUGCAGUUUGUGUACCCACCCAGAUGUGAAAAAAACAUGGGCCAAGAGAAACUUUUCAUUAUGGAAGGAAUUAAAUGCAUAACAGCUUGUUCCUUUGAUGAUGCUGAAUCACAUGCACUCGGUUAAGUGGUGGUAGCAUCUCGAAAUCAUCUUCUGACCAUACAGUGUGUUCAUAUGGAUCGAGUCCAGCAAUGUUCGCAAUUUUGCGAUUCGCGUUCAGACUAGGUUCAGAAAUUUUUCCAAAUUGCUCUUAUGAGGUGUUAAAAACUAUCUAUCACCUGACUUUUUUAGUGAAUGGAUAAAAGAAAACUUCAUGGUGUAGCUUUUCUUUUGCCAAUACUUUGUUGUAUCCCCUCCUCAGAAUGUGACACAGCACUUUCUAGUAACCCGAUUAACCCCAGCCAUUUGUGCAUCGCCGUGAACAUUUUCUGAACUGUAAUAGUGCUGUGGGGGUUCUUAAUAGUCUCUAUAUAUCUUCAGGCUCAGUGCUAUAAAAUGGGCGUCCUCCCUAAUGUAAAUACAUUACAGUUCCCAAUCUUACCAAUGAGGUUUCAUCUCUCCAGGAUGCACUGGGUGCAAGUCCUGUAGGACCCAGAUCUACUGGAAAGCAGUGUCUCCAUGCCUUAUUUUUCACGAAGCAAACAGUGCAUUACGGUCCUCCCACUGUGCCCCAGGUUUGAAGCUGCUGUUGUCAUUAAUUGUGGUCUCAGUGUAGUGUUGGUGCGACCCAUUACAAACCCACACCUCCGUCUUUGGCCCUGUGGUGAUGCAUUACUCCACACAUCUCAUUAAUAACCCCACUGCAUAGAGCUUGGUGGAGGAAGAGACGGUGAAAGUGGGCCACAGAAAAUGAUGGAGCCUACAAAAGCUGGUCCAUAUAGGUACAGAGAAGCAAAAGCAAUUAGCUUUUAAGACCACCUGCAUGGACUCAUCACUGGGAUUAUCUUACAGAUGGGUCAAACAUAUCCUUUUAACAGUAUUUUUUUUUCCAGAUGCUGCUGAGAAAUAUUUUUUUAUGAUCUAAUGGGCUGUAUGAAGGUUCUACAUUAACCUUUUAGGGGAGAUGCUGGUGCAAGACUGGCCGAAAGUCUGAAAGCUCAAGUAUAAGCAGCAUCUAGGUCCUUUUGAAAUCUGCAAAGAGAGAAAUAAAACGUGACAAGAAUUGUAUAAGGAAAGACUCUUGUUUUUUUAUGAAGAUAGGCAGAGUAUUCCCAUUUAUGAGAAAACAAGGUCAAAGAUCCCACAUGAAAUCUUUGAAUUACUCUUGCACCAAAAACAUGAGUAAAUUAGUUUGUGACUUUGUAGGUGCAAUGUUCCCUGCUCAAAGAUUUUAGUAAUAUAACAUAAUAUAAAAAUAUAGCAAACUUAACUGCUUUCAGACACAUAAAGGACUUUAUAGCAUAUUGCAUAAAUUGAUGAUUUAUUGGAAAGAAACAGGCGACUUCUUAGUUUUAUCACCCAACCAUCUGUUUUAUAAUUGGGUGGCACUGCCCUUUAACUUUGGCUGGCCUUUCACAAAGCUAUAAUACAGGAGCAGCUUUUUAUGAACUCAGCUGCAUUCAGGAUCUCUGCAUUUAGUUUGAAAGGAUGUGUUUAUGAUUCAUUCACUCUGGCAGAUGACAGGGCUUUUCAAACUGUGUACAGUUUCCCUGAAAUGACACUUGUUUUUGCUUUUUAAAAAAAAAAGGUGUCAAAAAAUAUUGGAUGUUUUUCAAAGUCCCUUUUAUCCUCCUCUGGGUUGUUACUGAAUAGGUCUUUUUUACUUCAUGAUAUUCACUUAUUUAAUUUCAGAUGAAUUAUGUGUACUAUACAUUUAAAAAUAUGUGCAUAAAAAUAGAUUUUAUUGCAAUUGUGACUUUUUAUCUUGGUUUUAUACGUAUUUGUCACCCAGUAAUUUAAGUAAUAUGCUUCUCAAAGCACCUUGUCAAUUCUAGGUUUUUAAGGUGCUAUAUUAAGUUGUCACUUUUUGAUGUAAAUGUCAGUAAAUACUGAACAGAAAGAGUUAACUUAGCAUAUCAGUAUCAGUGCUCAAUUUCAUGUCUAAUUUUACAUUUACACAAAAUUAAAUAAAAUCAAAAGGGUCUUUAUUAUUGUGCAAAGUCCCCGUGCUCAGUUAAUAAUAUGUACUUAAGGCACAGUGAAACAAAUAACAGCCCUGUUAUUGUGCAGUCUUGAAAUGUUCAGAGUAGAAAAGUUCUAAAAAAAUCUCUUUCUUGUGGUUGAUCUGAAAACUAAACCGAACCAUGACCCUUGAACUGUGAGCUGAACUGAACUCAGAGGUUUUUGAUCCAUGAGACUCCUGUGAAACUCAUAUACUCAAACUGUACUGACUCUGCAGUGUGAUUAUUCAUAAUGUGAUGCUCUACUCACACAUAAAUAUAUUCUCCGCUCUAACAGUUCAAGCACAGUCAGAAAGUAGGACAGUAAUGUAAUUUCUGCUGGUUUGGCUACACUCCAGCACAUUAGAUUUCCAACUUCCAAAAUGAAAUCAAACCUUUAUAUUUCACCAUUUGGAUCUAUUACAGCCCCCCUCUUGUCAGUUUGUGGUUGAAAAAGGACAAAGGGGAUCCUUUUUAUUCAUCCAUUGAUUUCUUUGUCCAGCGUUGAAAUCAUUCCCAGAAAAAAACAGUAAGUUGUUUGUAGGAGCUGCUUGUAGGAGCAAAAUAAAGCCUUUAACUUCCCCUCACACCUAUUUAUUUUGGCGGGCAAUCUUCACACAGUAUUGUUCCAUUUUCUUUUCCCAUUUUCUUUAUCUCCACCUACAUCUCUUCAGCGGACUAACCUUUUUCAGUCUAUCCUGAAGUCUUAUCAGCUGCUUUAAAUGAGGCCGGGAGUUUUCUUUGUGCUAAUCGUAGCAUGUGUCACUUUCCUCCAGCAAGACUGGGAAACUCCAUAGCAAAGCAAUUUGGCACACCACAUCCCCCAGAAUGAACAGUGUGUGGAGAGGCACUGCCAGGACUUGAUGGCUUCAUCACUCUGUCACUUGGUGAGAUGCAGAGAUUUCCCCAUUAAUUCAGUUAAUUGUGACAGGGACAGCGUGAUACUCUAAACAGCACUGAAAUACAGUCGAAACCUUUAAAGAUUCAUGUUUGCACCCUAUAAAUCAGGUUUAACUGAGUUUUCUGUGAUAAUGGAUUAAGACAGGUACAUGAGAGUAUGCCCCUCAUUCUUUAAGUCUGAAUAAAUUGUCACUUUCACAAUUUAUUAACAGCUGUUGGUGAAUGAUAUAGCAAUAUAGCAAUAGCAAUCUUUAGUAAAUAUUGUCAUGUCACUUCUUCAAAAGAAGCCUCAUGUGAAGCCCGUGUGAGAAACUUUUGGUUUGCAUGAAUUUUGACACCUCCUGUGGGCAUGCAGUCUUUGCUUAUUGUUUCCUUUACAUGCUUUAGUUGAUUUGUCACUUGUGCAUAAGUAAUGUUUAAUGCCUCAAACCAGCACAACUUCCACGGUCUAAGUUUUAUAUUAACAUAUUAAGCUAACUUUACACUUACUGACUUUAACAUGAAAUAUUUUAAGACUGAAGCUAAAACCUUUUGUGUUUAGGCAAAUUUCACUCUCCUAACAAGCUAAUCAAACAUUUUUAGGAGACAUUUAACUUGAGACAGCACUGGCUGUGUAUUUUCAGGUAUUCAAAUGUAAGUCAAACUGUCAUGGUGUCGUUCAGUUACAAAACCCCAAUUGCUCCUUGCUUCAUAUUUUAAAACUGUGUAUUUUGCCUCACAUGAAAGAAGACUUUUGGGAUGGAGUUUGACAAAUGUCACACUCCUGCUUUGAGUAACUGUAAAAUAGGACACAAAGACAUGUGUGUUUUAACUUAUUUGAACAUGUGAAGAAAUCCAACUCUUGACAUGACAUUAUGCCAAGCAGUGGUCAUAGUAGUACAAUGACUGGGUAAAUUUGUUUUAUCUACUAUUAAAUAGCUGGUUAGAAGUACAUAGAUAGAAAUACAUCCAGCUGAUUGUGGCAGUUUUCAGAAAUUCCCUUUAAAUCAUCUCUUUGUGGACUUCUGAACCUGUGCCACAGUUUGAGAAAAUCUUUAGUCCCUGGUAUGGAAUAUGCAGCUAGACAUUAAAACAAACAAAAAAAAAACAUGGGGCUGAAUUUUUGGGUUUUAACUUCGAAUCGUACGGAUUUAAACUUCUGACUUGCAGUCUUGGGACUCCUCUAUUUGCCCUCUUUUUUACCUCUAGCAUAUAAAACUCCAAGGACACUCCAGAAGUCGUUCCUGCUAUUUGAGUUUAACUUCUGAAGUGCAGACAUCUGGGGAGACUUCCUCAGCAAUACUGAAGAAAGCUCCUGCCUCCCUCCACCCAAGCCUGUAAAGUGCUACCACUUCUAGCUGAUAGUUAGAUCACCACCUAUUGUAAGUGUGAAAGUCCAGACAUGCUGCUCCAUCUGUUGAGAAGGAACAGUGAAUAUUAGCUUGUGUAAGGGUUCUUAUCACUGCUUAAGUCGGCCAAAAAUCCAUGUGUUCGAGGAUGAACCGUGAGGCUGCAAGGAUUAAUGUUCUGCAUCAGUUUGAAAUUGUAUUUGCUUUUCACAUAAAAAAGGAGUCAUAUCAUCAUCCCCUCCAAAAUAAAGCAAAGUCUGACCACUUGAAAUCCAAUAUCUGAGGACCAAACCAUGUUGGCUCUGUUUGUUUGAUUUCGAUGUAUCAUUGGUCAGAAUCAGAUUACAAGUGAAGGCGCCCAUGCAGUCUGGUCUGCCACUGAUCCCUCUAACUUUUCCCGUCUUCCUCAUCCCCAGAGUGUAACUGUCAUCUGUAGCCCAAGCUUAGUUUCGGAGCUGAGAUGAUCUCAUUUUCCCCUGGAGAAAGACAGGCAAGUGUUUCAUUUUUCAUGCUCCUUGUGCACAGCUCCGAACUCUGCAACCUUUUCCACAAUUGAUACCAGGGGAGAGGUUGUCAGGUCCCACUUCUUUGUUCAGGAAUAACAAUUGUGUGUCUUUUUCUUCGCAGAAAGGUGUGAAUUAUUCUUACAUCACAUGUCAUUGCUAACCUUUAGAUUUUUGUGCCUUAGAAAAUCAAAAAGGAGCAGUAUGUUCAUAUGAAAAGGUGCAGAUCCGGCUUAGAAUAGACACUAGUAGCUAUUGGGAAAUAAAGCACGUGAUUUGACUUGAUUUCUCGAUGGUUAUUUAAGGUUUUAUUUGCAGGGAUUUUUGUGUGAAACUUCAAACUCUUUAAUGCCGGCAUCGGUAUCGGCAAGUACUGGAGUCCAGGUACCGAUCCAAUACCACAUAAUUCAUUAAAUUAAUAAUUUUUUUACUGGUUAGCUCCGUUGGCUCUGACACGGUUCUUCUUCGCCUAUCUAAAACGGCAUGGAUCACAUGACAGACGCACAGCAUCAGAGCCACAGCCUGUCGACACAGUUGACAAGGCUCGGACGUAAGCUAAGGAGCAGCUAAUUAGCACUCGCGUUAUGUCAGCGGUGUGGCAGUAUUUCACAUCGGAUGCUCCCACCAUAAGACCGUGAGAUGCAACAUAUGCCAAGAAAAUAUUUCGAGAGGUGGCACGAGUGUUGCUACUUUUAACACCAGCAACCUAAUGAAACACCUAGAGACGUGCCACGCUAAAGAGCACGAUGGAUUUACCAGAGCAAAGGGGAAAAAGAAGAACAAGCCGUUGCAGCAAACUCUGCAAGCUGCCUUCCAUCAAUGAGAUAAAAUCCCCAGAGACAGCCAAAAAGCAACAAAGAUAACAGACAUAAUUGUGGAAUUCAUUGUUCUUGAUGACCAACCACGUCUGUCGUCAAAAAAUGUGGGAUUUUGCCGCUUACUAAAGGUAUUUGGAGCCAAGGUAUUGUUUGACGGGUCAUAAACAUUUCUCAGAUCAUCAUAUCAGUGAUAUCACAGUCAUGCAGGACUGGUUUUAUUUAUUUUUUUUAUAACAUACUGGUAUCGGAUCAGUACUUGGUAUCGGCUGAUACCCACAGCACAAGUAUUGGAAUCCAUAUUGGGAGGGGAAAAUUGAUCCACUAUGUCCACUUUCAUUGGUGGCAGAUUUUUUUGUCUUCCUACUCCUUCGAUACAUGUGGUCAGAAGAGUCUACACACCUGUUCUACAGGUAACAGGAAGAAAGAUAGAGACAGAUUGGUAACAGAACUUGUUAAAACAAAACAGAUAUCAGGAGUCUUACCAGCAAUUUCCACCGCAUCCGGAACUACUAUGAAAAGGCCGUAUCCACCGAUUGCAGCUGAUCGUAACCAUUCAAGUUGAUGUGUCAAUUUUCACCGGCUUUGUUCCGUUCCACUGCGGAUCGCCGAACUCUGCAGCUGAUCGCAAGAGUUCUAUUUUUUCUUGACGUCGGAGCAUGCUAGAUAAAAUCAGCACAGAUUAGCCCGUGCUGGAAAAGAAGUCGGGCACAGACACAUAAUAAAACACUCGUAUUUCACACCAUGCAAACAGGCGGAGAUGAACAAGUGAAAGGUGUGGUGAAGGCAAGUUAAGACAGCAUUUCACCCCGAUGACACCAUGGAUGAGAGGAAGCUGACUUUAUAAGUCUAGAAGUAGAUUCCCUUCACUGGAAGGACACAAUCUACUGCUUAUAUGGUUAGCCUAUGUGGCUAAAGACAACUUGUUAUCACGUGAUUGCACGUGAAUCCGCGGGUUCUUCUGAGUUUUCACGAUUUCUGCUGUCCGUAAUCUGCCAUGAAAUUGGCCUCACAAACAGACCCGGUAGGAACUGGCAUAUGGAGAAAAUCGCUGCCGUUCCGGAUGCGGUGGAAAUCCUGGAUUAAAGAGGUGCAAACACAACAAAUUUUUUCGACUGUUGAUCCUACUUUUUAUUAAUUACAAAUAAGCCUGGUCAUGCCUCUGUUCUGGACCAGCGUCCCACAUACACUGUAGUUCUUUGCGAUAUCAAUACUUGACAUAUCACCAGUAUCCAGUACUGCUGUGUUCCCUGCUUGUUUGUGUACAGGGAACCAUGGCAACUGAAUCCAAGAGUAAUAUGUUUGAGUCUAAGCUUGUACAUUUUGUGCUGCAGCAGAUCGUAUUUUGAUUAUUGCCUCAAAGACUAGAGCAGAGAUGUCUAAGGACAAAGACAAUAUGGCCACUAAGAAAGAGGACAUGGGACUUCUGUAUAUGUCCACCAUCAAGCAGACCAAUCACAGGUCUUGCAGGUCACGUCAUUUUGUUGCAUUGAUACAUUUUUAACAAUGCUGGCAUACCAAAUGCAGCCAGGAUGCACAGAGAUGCCCACCCACUUUGGCUAUGUCACUCAUUCUCAUGAAUUUAAAUGCCUUUUAAUAAAAGCAAAACUUCACAAAUGUGUAUACUAACUUUUUAGGAUACCAAUGUUUGCAUUCAAGACAGGAUUUUGUCAUAAUGAGAGAGCACAGGUUCCAAAAAAAAGGGGGUGCUGCCAGCCACACCCAGGAUGGAAGGAGUCCCAGAAUGCUCUGCACAGUGAUGAGUCCAUCAGCAAUCUACAAUAAUGAAUAGGGGUGAAUUUUUCAGCUGCAUCUGGUGUGUUAGCACUGUGAGGUGGUGUGUGUGAGUGUUGGCUUUGCACAUAGGCUUCUGUGUAGGGUCCACGGUCACACAGAACUACAGUGUAUGUUUGAUGCAGAAGCAUAAAGUUGGCUUAAAGUGGUUAAAAGAUUUUCUUAGGAAAUUCUUCUCCAAAGUUUGAACAUCAAUUGGGUUACUUCAGGCCUCAAAAACUAGUGGAAAAUCUUGAACCCAGCAUUGUGAAUCAUGCACUGUAUCAUGAGUAGUUUUUGUCCCCGAAAAGAAUUGGAGGUUGAUUAAUUCACAAAUUGUAACAGUGCACAUAUUUUAUGUAUUAAUUUUUCAUCACACAUCUAUUAAGGGUACUUGCAGGGUGUUACUGUCCAAUCUGCAAAGUGGAGUUUCCUGACCACGAUCACAGAAGCACGAAUUCUGUCCAACUCAUUGAACUGCUCACAGAUGAAAGUGUGGAAAUCCCUCUUAAUGGAAGAUGCAGCUUUCAACCAUUAGUCAUGCUCGCAGAAAAAUAAUGUUUUAUGUAUUAAAUUUCUGAGGCUUUGCAACAUGAUGCUUUUAAAUGUGUAAUGUUAUUUUAGGAAGAUAAUCCACAUUUGCAGAGAUCUUUCAUUCAAAAAUGUAGGGAAAAAAGCUUUAUUAUCCACAGCUUUCCUUUGAACAAAUCUGAGAGAGAAAUAUCAAUACAUAAAACCUCAAAAUCAAUUUCCCUCUGAAGUGUGUGUGUCACAACAUUCAUCUUACUCCACCCUCAGCCUCAGACAUAAGAGAGAGUGAGCACACUCUCAGAAAUGUGACAGGUGUGUGUGUGACCUGCCCUUUUUUCAUCUCUUGCUUUUAAAGGAUGUGUCAUACUGUGUGCGAUCAGUUGUGAGUCUGUCACUGUGUGUACUGUCAGUCAGAUUCCGGUUUUGUCUGGUGCAGAGAAAGAGAUGUUAGAAACAAGAGGUGAAUUAGAUGAAGAAAAAAAAUUCUGUGGUUACCAGGUGACAGAAUAUCUCUUAAAUUCGCCGUCCAAAGACAUAAAAGUGGCCAAAGUGAUUCAAACUUCAAUUUCACAGCUACUCAGUUUGAUUGCUUUGUGAACAGUCUGGCAGAGACUCUAUCAAAGCUGUAAAAUCCCCUCCUGUAGCUUGAAACCUGAUCUUACUGUUCCUUCUUGUCCAUUGCAGGUUGCUUUGUCUGCAAUUUGCAAGCUUUGGGUCGCUUCAAGGAGUCGGGUCGAUUCCCCUUUAAUCCCUGCCGUUAUAAUUAUACUAGAGCUCUCACCAACCUUUGAUGAACUUGAAGUUUGUUCACAGGAAGUCUAAAAAUAGGUUACUGAAACAUAACAGCUUCUAUAUAACAGGAAUAGAGAUACGGAUUUAAAUCAUCGGCACAGUACAUUGCUAAGUGGAUAACACCAAAGCAGCUUUGAACAACAUCAUAACAACACGUCUGAGGGUGAUAAUUACAUACAUGUAGGGGGGAAAAGUGCCACAAUCCACACGUUUUAUUAAAUUAACUAGGGUGUCCUCCUUAUAGCUAUAUCUGGUUGUAAAUGUCUGUGGGGGGAAACUAAAAUAUCCUAUAUGUGGAGCUUGAAGUGCACAGAAAGUGAUGAUAGUACAGCCUCUAAAUGGUCCCUGACAAAAUUCUGCAGGGACCAGAUAUCAAGCUGCCUCUCUGACAGAUCCAGCAGCAGAUCUCUUGGUAUUUCCCUCACACUUUCACAUGUCUUGUGUCUGUUGCAAAAAAAAAAAAAAAUCUGGGCUAGUCUCUUGGCACACUGUACUCCAGAAAUACCUACAGGUGAUAACUAGCCAAGAUUUUGUAGCAGGUGUCCUGUCACCCUCACCAUUAUGUAUGCAUCAUACCUGUGGGUGGAGGUGGUAAUUAUCUGUUGCUUUGCCAUUUUUAGAUUGUUGCCAUGACAGCUCUCUCUCUGUGUCUCCAUCUUCUCAUCAUUUUUUUCUUUCACGUACUUUCAGUGUCUCUUUUUCCUUCCAGCGAUGUGUUAGCACACUUUCUAUGGUCUUCUUUAUUAAAUAGCAAAUGGACUGUAUGUUUCUAUUGUACUUUUCCAUGUUCCCAAAGCACUUUCUUAUGCUUUAUGUUACAUGCGCACUCUAUUAACCGUAACCCUAUUAACACGCUCACUCAGUUAUGGUUGAAGAUGUCAUGUAAAGUAUCAAAGUAAACAGAAUGGUUAAUGUUCUUGCACUUGAACAGUCCUUUUCCAGUCUUUUCAACCACUAAUAGCACUUUCACUCUACCCUUCACAUUCACAUGUUCACACUGCAUUUAUACACUUAUGGUAGAAGGCUUUUAUGACAGGAGACCGUCAGUGUUAGCUAAUCUGGUUCAUAUACAUUCACACAUUGCUGAUCGAGGCACUGGGAGCAACUUUGGGUUCGGUUUGUUGUUUAAAACCUUUCGGCUUGAUAGUCUUUAUAACAUGUAGCAGGACUGUACUGGACUUUCACCUCACACAACUGCUGCAUGUGUGUGUUCACAAGAUGGGGUGGUCCUGACAGUGUGACAGCGCCAUCCGUCAUGGUCAGAUCGGGUCACACACCCUGCCCGGUGGGCUGUGGCCUGCAGGUAACUGCAGCUGCAGCACAGCGUCUCAGCUGUCAUCUAUCUGCAGAGAGUCAAGGGUGACAUGUGCUGUCCACUUCAGUCAGCUACAGUUUACACGACAUUUGUGCAAAUAAAAGGACAGGUCUGUUUGUGCAGCCAAUUCAAUUUUGUAGCUUUAUUGAUGCUGAUAUCCAGUCCAGUGGUGAAUGAUUUACAGCUUUGUUGGCCAAUUUUUUUUUUUUUUUUGCCUCUUUGCAAAUUCACUGUUUUUGUUACAGUUUUUCCAAAGGUUUCAAACUGCUUCUGUCACUUUUUUAUAUUAAAUUUGUUGUACCUUAACCUCCUAAGACCUGACGUCACAUGUGUGGACAUCACAUUUUUGGUUGUCAAGACCACAAUAUUAAAUUUUGUUCACAAGGGCCUUCUCUCAAAAUUUAAAACGAAUGUCCUCAUAUGUGGACAUCAUUUUUCUCAGAAACUACAUCAUGUAAAAAGAUCAUUCUUUGUUUUUACACUCAUCAGGUCCCAAUUAGCCUGAAUAUCAAAGAGAAAAUAAAAAUGCAUGCCUUGCAAGAGUUCGGGUCUAAGGAGGUUAAAUAGUGAGGAUCUUUAAUGGUCCUCCAUCUUCUGAACUUCACACAGUGCAAAUAAUUAAUAUAUUAAUCUGAGAAAGUUAAAUCAUAACUGAUAAAAUGUGUAAGUUAGAUAUCAUAAAGAAAUAUCAAAAGUUCUAAGAUUGCAAUACCUUCAGGGUCUCCAGUCUCAAAGUGUUGGUAAGCAUUACUUUGCUAAUCAGGUUUAAAUUUAAAACUUUAGAGAAAAUACUUCGAUAAAAUCACAAAAAACAUCACCACCACAUCACUUGAAACUGCUGAAUUACUUUGUCUGUCGUAGAUGAUGCCAUCCUGAGUCAAUUGCUUUUGUUCCUCGUUGGCCACUGUAGCCUCAGUGACAGGAGAGAUUAGUGUGGAAGUUUUCCAGCUUAGAAUCUAAAUAUCCCUGUUUUACACACAGCACCUUUCAAUACAACAAAACAGUUGUUAGAUGUAGCAUAUGUUAAAUUUCUAUCCAUCAAACAAAAUUACAAAUCUUUGACUGUGUGAAGCCUGCAACACCGACAAAAACCCGCAAAGAGAAGACUUGAAUGCCCAACUCCAAACAGAAGGUAGAUCAGAGCUUUGUGCACAGAGAGCAGGCGGGUUAAUCAUAUAAGCACCUGUCUGUUGUCUACUGUUCAUAUCAUAAAACAAAAUAACACUUGCUGAAACUGUUUUUUCUUCACACGACAUAGAGGCAAAAUCACACUGAAUCAGAGAAAGGCACAGGUUAUGUACCGUAGGACAGGCAGUUAAUGAGAAACGAGUGGAACCGAUCACAGCGGGGGACAAUAAAAACUGCUGCAAGAGCACACUAUAGCAUAAAGAAAGAAAAUAACCUCUACUUUGUGCCACCUUGUCUUCUCUCUCCUCUAAUCUUCUGCUUGUGACCCAGAAAGUGAUCUCAGCCAGCGUACAGUUUGAAACCAUGUCUCGAUUCUUAAAAUGCAUCUUCAGGAGAGAGAAGAUGAGAGGGAAGGGGGCACAGAUGAGCUGUGAGUGAGGAUGCAGGUGAAAGCUUUGCAAAAGCCUUUCCAGCAUCUGUGACAUAUAGGAGAGGAAUGACAGGCUGUGGAAAUCCACAUAUAAACAUACUUUAAACAGGUUGCCAUGAAGACUGAAAGGCCCGUCUGACAGUGAUGAUAAAGUAUAGUUCAGUUUGACUAUCUUCUGACGACAGCACAGCCUUUGGGGCUGAUUCUAGCUUUCCAGGUCCUCUACAGUCGCUGAUUUAUAUUACCGUCAUUUGUGGUCUGACUGGCAAUUUGAGAAGUAAAAUGCAUGGUGAAAUCAAGAAAUGAAGGCAGAUUAUUAGCAGCAUUUUAGAGAUAACAGAUGAAGAUUCUCUACUAUGGCUGUCCAGAGUGAUUUCCUGUAUAUGGUUAAUAGGCGGGUGCAUAUAUGGAAAAAAAACACCUAACCCUAAAAGAAUUCUAACAAAAGGUUUCUCAGCUGUUUUUAUUGUAUUAGAUGUUCUUAAUAACAUACUAAAAGUUUACCUAGGUUUGAGCUCUAGAAAGGUGCCAUUUUCAAGAUGGCAUCCGUGAUGCGUAGGAAGCCCAGGGAGACACCCCAGGUGAAUGGGGUAAAAUUUUUAACUAAUAGAUAUCACCAUCAAACUUCCCAAGUUUAUAACUUACAUUGAGACAAAUAUUUUUUGUAUUACAAGUUUUGUCAAAUGUUAGGUAUGAAUAUGAAAAUGAGGCAAUAUCUAAUUAAAUAUGCACUAAUUUGCAUAAAGUGUUAGGGUUAGGUUAGGUAAGGGGGAACCUUGGGGUAUUAGGGUUAGGGUCACAGGGCUAGGGUAAGGGUUAUGGGUUAGGGUUAAAAAAAAAGCUGUCCACAACCUUUUAGAAGCAUCUUUUAGACUAAUUGGAGUCGAUUAGUACAGAAAAAAUUAGGAAAAAUGUCCAAAAAAAAAUUCAAGUGUUAGGGUAACUUUGGGGUAUUGGGGUAAGGGUAAGGCUUAUGGGUUAGGGUUAAAAAAAAAAGCUGUCCACAACCUUUUAGAAGCAUCUUUUAGACUAUUUGGAGUCAAUUGGUACCAAAAAAUUAGAAAAAUGUCAAAGAAUAUUGAAGUGUUAGGGUUAGGUUCGGGGGAACCUUGGGGUAUUUGGGUGAUACUGAUGUCCUCUUUUAUUUACAACCAGUUGCUCCUCUGCUAAGUAAGAUUUAAAACAAACAGCAGUAGGAUGACAACAUUACAGGAGGGGCUGUGAUUUAACAUUGGUCAUAUCUGAGGUUAUAAUAAGGAUUUUUUUUUACUUUCAAUGUAUUGCAAAGUGUAUGUGAUAUUACAAGCCCUUAAAGGUUGGCCUAAUAUUAAGAAAUUUCAAGUGCAGUUCUCCCAGGAAAGCCUCUCACAGCGUGCUCAGUACAUCAUAGAACCCUUCACUUAGAGGACUGCAGAGGGAAGUCUAUUAAAAAUAUAAAAUCUUUACCUGAGUGUUUACUUCAGUUCUCUUUAUUAGAUACCCUUGCAUUACGCGGAUGUUUCAUUUACUUUAUCGCUCUGUAUUAGCAAGUGCAUAUCACAUUAAAGAAUGAUAAAUCCACUCCUGAGUUCACUGCCUCCAUUCCCUGACAAAUGGAGUAAUAAUAUGAUGUCUGCCCAUGGUGAAAUAUUUAAUAACCAGGACAGCAAAUAUUAAUGGUUGAAAGUGGAAGUGUGCUAUCAUGAGAAGGUGAACAUUAAUUUAAGAAGGAGAUGACAUUUGAGUGAUUGUAUCAGAGGCCUGUGAAGGCUCUUCUCUGUGUCUGUUAAUCUGCUGGAGAUAAAGAACGAAAGAAAUGAAGAAAAGACAUGCGAACACGCACAGGAAACUGUUAGUCGUUAUUCAUCCCUGAUCAGAUCCGUUUGAUUAAUGCCUUAUAAAGAUUUUCAACACCUUUAAUAUCUUAUGGUGUUAUCCUGCCCAAACAAGCUCAAAUAUCAGCAAUGAAAAAAAGCCGCUGUAAUGUUGGUGGCUUUAGAGGACAUCAGCUGGUAAUGUCAUAAAUCUAUUGGAACUACAGCCCAUCUAAAUGUCACUGAGUUUUAAGGGCAUGAACGUCUCAGAGGGAGCCGGCUCGGCCGUCAUGGGUGUUUUAUUGCAUCAGUGUGCUGCACCUGCGGGACCAUGCACACAACAAGUUACUGCCCUCACAACAUGCACUCUCUUUUCUGCUGCUAAAAGGCUUCUAGUAUAGUAUGAUUGAAUACAAAACUAAAUAUUAAGGCCACUCGUGUAAGAAUAGCUCCAACAUCUGCAAAAAAUGGGAAAACAUUGCCUUCGGUGUCUCCAGCCUGUAACUGUGAGGAUGUUGUGCUUUCAUUCAAAGAUAAGGAUUUUCACAGAGCACCCAUCAAAAUCAAACAUUCUGAAUUAACUUUAUAAAAGAAAAAGGAGCUAGUAAGUUAAACAAUAACCGUUAUUCGAGCUGUCGGUCGGCCAUUAAACACCUCAAUGGCUGAAGUCAAAGCUUGUCUUCUGGUUUAAAAGUCCGGAUUUGAUAUUGGAGAAAAACUCUGACUUAUAAAAACAGACUAAAGUUUGUCUUUCGGAGGACCAGUGUUGGAUGUAAUAUACUCCUGUGAUGUGCAGACCAGAUAUCAGGGAUUUGGCUGCAUCCCUAGCAGGCUCGAAGCAGCUGCCCAUUAGGUUUUCAUUGAUGUCUCCAAAGAUUCAAUAAAAGAUAAGGCACCCACAUCCAAAGUCCUGCUUACGUUUCUUCUUCUGUGCCCUUGAUGCAGGCUAUUUCUCACUCAUGGUAGCUUAUUCAUGGUGUGAAGCACUUGUUGACUGCCAGGUAUUAGAAAUCACCAACUGCUUCGAAACAUUCAGCUCUAUGGACAGAGAUGGAAAGUAUAAAAUGAGAAGUCAUGAAGACCUUGUUUGUACAGAGGCAUCCGUUCCCUUUGAUGUAUUUGGAUGUGUUCAGCAUUAAGAGCAAUGUUACAAAUCAGUCAGUGUAACUACAUUGAAUCUCUUUUCCUCUAUUGUUUGGCUCUAUAUGCUGACAGAAACACCAGUGUCAUAUCUAAAUGAAUAUUUCAUAGAUGGCAAUAAAGUCUGGUAGAGACAUCCAUGCUGCUCAGGGGAUGGAUUCUUCAGACUGAUGAUUUCUCACUUUUCACCUUUAACUUUUUCUCUGUGCUUGUAGCUGGUCAGAGACUUUUUCUUAUCCAGUGGAGACUUUAUGGACUGGCACCAAAAUAAAUGCAUGCAGGGGUUAUGAUGUAAAGCUACUACUACACAGACAAAUGGACUACUUUCAGGUAAAAGCUUUAUUUUUCCAUGAUUUUAUAUGCAAUUAAAUUCAUACAGAACAGUAAUCUCAUCAGCAUGGAUUUUUAUUCAUUCUUUUUCUUUAUGCUUGAUACGUGAUAUUUGAAGUGGCCUUUGCCUUUUAUCAGCACACUUGGGUAUAAAAGUGUCUAUGGAUGUUAUUGGAUCAAAAUGUUCUGGGGACUUUUUCGGGGGGGACUAUCCACCAGGAAGUCUGUAUUAGCGUGUUAUUAGUGUUGGCUGAUAUGAUCCUAUGAGAACUCUUAAAGCCCAAUUGCUUGGUACCGCAUUUCCAGCCCUUUAAUGUAACUCGUUGAAUGUCAUAUUAGAAAGUUGGAGCAUUAUAAAUAACUGUCUUGCCAUGCUUUGGGGCUUUGUAGUAUAGUGAGUUGGUAUAAUGAAGCCUGUUAAUCAUCCCUGUGGCUGAAUGCAACUCUAAAAUUCAAGUACACCCACAUGUAAUGAUUUUAAAGGCAUGUCUGACCCCAAGAGCUGUUUUGUUGUCGUAGAAAUUCUGUUCAAACUGGUGUCUUGCCCAUUUCGGAAAAUAGUUGUGCUUAAUAACCUUAAUGUUAGCACUGCUGCCGACUUUAUAAGCUCAGAUCACUCACCAAGGCUCCUGAGCGGACAGGAUGGCCGAGACAAAAGAUAAAAGGAGCAGUUAAUAAUAACAAUCUCAUUAUCUUUUGAUUCACAUUCAAAUAUGUC